rnacentral:rRNA from 1 species
AGUGAACGCUGGCGGCAUGCCUAACACAUGCAAGUCGAACGGCAGCACAGCAGUAGCAAUACUGUGGGUGGCGAGUGGCGGACGGGUGAGGAACACAUCGGAAUUUGCCCAGUCGUGGGGGAUAACGUAGGGAAACUUACGCUAAUACCGCAUACGACCUUACGGUGAAAGCGGGGAUCGCAAGACCCCGCGCGGAUGGAUGAGCCGAUGUCGGAUUAGCUAGUUGGUGGGGUAAAGGCCUACCAAGGCGACGAUCCGUAGCUGGUCUGAGAGGAUGAUCAGCCACACUGGGACUGAGACACGGCCCAGACUCCUACGGGAGGCAGCAGUGGGGAAUAUUGGACAAUGGGGGCAACCCUGAUCCAGCAAUGCCGCGUGUGUGAAGAAGGCCUUCGGGUUGUAAAGCACUUUUAUCCGGAACGAAACGUGCGGGGUGAAUAGCCUCGUAAACUGACGGUACCGGAGGAAUAAGCACCGGCUAACUUCGUG